rnacentral:rRNA from 1 species
GACGAACGCUGGCGGCGUGCUUAACACAUGCAAGUCGAACGGAAAGGCCCCUUUGGGGGUACUUGAGGGGCGAACGGGGGAGUAACACGGGAGUAACCUGCGCUUGACUUCGAGAUAACUGCAGGAAACUGGGGCUAAUACCGGAAAGGAAUCCUUGCUGCAUGGGGGGGGUUGGAAAGCUUGGGCGGUUUUGGAUGGACUCGCGGCUUAUUAGCUUGUUGGUGGGGUAGUGGCUUACCAAGGCUUUGACGGGUAGCUGGCCAGUGAGGGUGAGCGGCUACAUAGAGUCUGACGUGCGGCCCAAGCUCCUAAGGGAGGCAGCAGUGGGGAAUCUUGCACCAUGGGCAGCAGCCUGGUGAAGCAACGCCGCGUGCGGGAUGACGGCCUUCGGGUUGUAAACCACUUUCAGCAGGGGCGAAGCUUGUGGUGACGGUACCUGCAGAAGAAGCACCGGCUAACUACGUG